rnacentral:rRNA from 1 species
UACGAAGGGGGGCUAGCGUUGCUCGGAAUUACUGGGCGUAAAGCGCACGUAGGCGGCUUUCUAAGUCGGGGGUGAAAUCCUGGAGCUCAACUCCAGAACUGCCUUCGAUACUGGAAGCUCGAGUCCGGGAGAGGUGAGUGGAACUGCGAGUGUAGAGGUGAAAUUCGUAGAUAUUCGCAAGAACACCAGUGGCGAAGGCGGCUCACUGGCCCGGUACUGACGCUGAGGUGCGAAAGCGUGGGGAGCAAACAGG